rnacentral:rRNA from 1 species
GAUGAACGCUGGCGGCGUGCCUAAUACAUGCAAGUCGAGCGAACAGACGAGGAGCUUGCUCCUCUGACGUUAGCGGCGGACGGGUGAGUAACACGUGGAACACCUACCUAUAAGACUGGGAUCACUUCGGGAAACCGGAGCUAAUACCGGAUAAUCUAUUGAACCGCAUGGUGCAAUAGUGAAAGACGGUUUUGCUGUCACUUAUAGAUGGAUCUGGGCCGCAUUAGAUAGUUGGUAAGGUAACGGCUUACCAAGGGAACGAUGCGUAGACGACCUGACAGGGUGAUAGGCCACACUGGAACGGGGACACGGUCCAUGGUACUAAGAGAGGCAGCAGUAGGGAAUCGUCGGCAGUGGGCGAAAGUCUGACGGAGCAACGCCGCGUGAGAUAUGAAGGUCUUGGGUUCGUGAAACUCUGUUAUGAGUGAUGAACAAAUGUGUAAGGAGAUGUGCACGUCUUGACGGUACCGAAUCAGAAAGCCACGGCUAACUACGUG